CUGAUAAUAUUUAAAGGUUGUGCUAGGAGAAAAUUUAAAAUUUUCUUCCUUAAUUGUUUAUAGAUCAAGGGAAAAUUUUAAAAUGCAGUGCAACAUGGAUAUUGAAAGAGUUUAUAAAAUUCGUAAAAAUACCCCCAAUCAGACAGACUAUAAUAACCGAAAAUGGUUGGAAUACAUAUCUAGGUGUCCGUUCGUUAACUGUCGAUUACGUAUAACGCAAUAUGGCACGAAGGUUUAAAUAACAACAGGCAUCGCAAUAUUUAUAAUUCUGUUCAUAACAUUCUCAUCGCCAUUAUCAUUCCUUACAUGGAAGAGCGAAAGAUUUUCCGAAAAGUUCAUAACCCCCUACUCACAACCAAUUACCUAGUAGAUGGCCUUUAUGAGAAAAUGUCAGGCCCAUAAGCAGAGGUUACUCCUGUUCUGCUCACAAAUUUCUGCAUGCCUGUAAAUCCUACCCAAAUUUGCCUGCACAUGAAUAUGUGUGAGAACUUAUUAUUCAAGCACAGAUUUAGUCCUGUGUUGAAUGUGUCAGACAUAACCUGAAAAGUUUAUUUGUUUACUGUUGUUGUGUUUGUAAUUGUUUAAUUAUGUAGAAUACUUCCUGCAAAAGUUUGCUGAAGAAGCUGCAAUUACCAGAAAAGUAUGAAGGAAGACAACUUUGAUCCAGAACCAAAGGAAAAGACUGUUCUGAAGGAUGCCAUAUACAAGUUUCUUCAGCAGUUUUAUAAUGAAAGAGACUCUGAAAAGAUAACUGAUGAAUUUAUGAAAGAUUUCUAUCGUUCAGUUUCUAGUUUGAGCCUCGAUGACUUGGAAAGACUUGCAACUUCUUAUCUUCAAGAUGAAAAGACGAACUGAAGGAAGGAAAAGUUCAUCUGUUUUGUAACCUAACACGAGUUCCAUGUAAAUAAACUGUGGUACAUUU